CCUCACGGCCCGGCCCCGGUGGGGACCCCCCACAGCCCGGCCCUGGUGGCACCUCACACAGCCCGGCCCAGGUGGGGGGCCCCCAGCCCAGCCCCCACCGCCCGGCCCCGGUGGGCCCACGACCCCCCUGUGCUGUUAAAAGGCAGCUGAUGAGUGACCUGGUCUUGCCCAUUCAUUUAUUAGGUUGUUGUUUAUUAGGUUCUGUCUGUGCUAAGGGGUCUCCCUCCCACGGUGCUGCAGGUUCCAGGCCAGGCAGCCGGCAGCGCGGCACGUAAUAACUACCUAAACACUUUGUUUCUGGCCUUUUGGACUCCUAGGAAGCCUGGCCUAUUUUUCCCCUUCUCCAUAUGGAGUAUGUAAGCUUGUAUGCUGGUUCAGAGCUCCUCUUCUUGGCAGGCAAAUGGUUAAAUACUUGAUAAUUAUGUGCUGGUGUACAAGGGGUGUGAAGGGAGGGAGGUGGGUGCCUUCUAGCACUAGUCCAACAACAGGUUGCUGUUUUCCUUCCAGGAGCGAUGGUGGGUGAGGCAUGAGCCACGGUGGGUGUUUUGCUCUGCUGACAAGGCGGUCUGGCUGCUGGUGUCAUGCUUAGACCCUUCUUCAUCCAUCCCCACGCUUAGACCCUUCUUCAUCCAUCCCCACUUUCAGACCUGAUGUCCCGGUGCACGCAUCCAACAAGAGGCUGAACAUCGACGCAGAUGCUGAGGUGGGUCUGUGUGAAGCCCAUCGGCAAAACCGUUACCACCAGCAAUUGGCGCUGAUUGCAGGACCAUGGUGCACACGUGUGAGCCAAGGUAAUUGGUGACUCAGUCCUUUCACUACCGAAGGAGAGUGUGGCUUGGUUUUAUAGUCAUCUGAGUUUGUGAGCAAGAAAUACAUAACACUGAGCAAUAUCCAGUAAAUAAUGAGGUCUUCCCAGAUGGACUUUAGGCCAAGUAAAAUAAGCAGCUGGGCCAGAUGACUUAAAUUUUCCAGCUAUAAAUUGUAGCAAUUCACCAGCUGUCUGCAAUAAAAUACCAGUGAAGGAGUCUCCCUUGAGAUCUGGUGUUUAAACCUGUGGAAAUAACGGCUCCCUUCAAAACAAACAGCCCUAAACAAAAGAUAAUGUAACUUAAGGAUGCUGUGGAAGUGAAAAAGAGAUGAACAACAGGUGAGAGUUACUUAGACAAUUUUAUUUAUAUCCCCACUCCCCAGUAGUGGGGUUCUGUAGCUCGAUUCCUUGUGUAAGGACUUCUCUUUCAGAUUUCCCACACCAUGCAGGAAGGAAUUGUGUUUGUUUCAUAAUAAUAAAAUCUGUCCACAAAAGCUGUAAACAUUA